rnacentral:rRNA from 1 species
UGCAGUCGAACGGUGAUAGCAAUAUCAUAGUGGCGCACGGGUGCGUAACACGUAUGCAACCUACCUAUUAUUGGGGGAUAGCCUUUGGAAACGGAGAUUAAUACCGCAUAAUACGAUUGACUGGCAUCGGUUGAUUGUUAAAGCUUCGGCGAUAAUAGAUGGGCAUGCGUCCAAUUAGUUAGUUGGUUAGGUAACGGCUGACCAAGACGAUGAUUGGUAGGGGAUCUGAGAGGAUAAUCCCCCACACUGGCACUGAGAUACGGGCCAGACUCCUACGGGAGGCAGCAGUAGGGAAUAUUGGGCAAUGGGCGGAAGCCUGACCCAGCCAUGCCGCGUGCAGGAAGAAGGCGUUAUGCGUUGUAAACUGCUUUUUUAUAGGAAGAAGGAUCCCUUGCGAGGGAAGGUGACGGUACUAUAAGAAUAAGCACCGGCUAACUCCGUGCCAGCAGCCGCGGUAAUACGGAGGGUGCAAGCGUUGUCCGGAUUUAUUGGGUUUAAGGGGUGCGUAGGCGGUUUAUUAAGUCAGUGGUGAAAGACGGUCGCUCAACGAUUGCAGUGCCAUUGAUACUGGUAGACUUGAGUGAGAUUGAGGUAGCUGGAAUGGAUAGUGUAGCGGUGAAAUGCAUAGAUAUUAUCCAGAACACCGAUUGCGAAGGCAGGUUACUAAGUCUUAACUGACGCUGAG